AACUCAAACCUUUAAAAAGAACUUUUGCUCCUCCAUACGAUGGCUUUAGAAUCAUUUGCUUUCAGUGUUGCCCAGAAAGUCCUUGAAAAGCUAGCUUCCAAAGCCUGCCAAGAAAUUCCAAUUGCAUGGGGUGUUCAAGGGGAACUGAAAAAGCUUGAGGAUGUCUUGAUGACUGUUAAAGCUGUGCUGUUGGAUGCCGAGGAGAAACAAGUGAGCAAUAAUGAUGUUCGACUGUGGCUGAUUAAGCUUAAAGAUGUUCUUUAUGAUGCUGAAGAUGUACUCGAUGAAUUUGAAUGUGAGACUCAGAGAAAGCAAUUGCUUAAAUUAUAUGGAAGCACGGCCAAAAAGGUGGGUCGUUUUUUUUCAUCCUCUAAUCCACUUGCUUUUUGUUUAAAAAUG
rnacentral:misc_RNA from 1 species